rnacentral:rRNA from 1 species
ACAUGCCUACAACAUAGCAUUAAUGCACCAAAUCCCAUUAGAAAUCCAUAGUUAAGUGUGCUCAUGAUAAAGUAGUACUGGAAAGGGUGAUCUCCAAGGAAGUCCUAGUGUUUUACAUGCC